rnacentral:misc_RNA from 1 species
GAUGAAGAACGUAGCGAAAUGCGAUAAGUAAUGUGAAUUGCAGAAUUCAGUGAAUCAUCGAGUCUUUGAACGCACAUUGCGCCUUUUGGUAUUCCGAGAGGCACGCCUGUUUGAGCGUCAGCAAUACCCUUCCGGCCCCCGGUUUUUUGUUAAAGACCGUGGCGGCACGGGCAUGUUGGCCAGGGGAAUGCCGGCCGCUGCGCUUCGGCGUGGGGAUAGGCCCUCCCCGGCUUAAAUGCGGAGAAAAGCUAGCGGGCGCGUUUGGCCCCGGAUUGUGAUGACUCGUAGCACCUACCGUCAUGGCAUCCCGGCCCCGCCCUGCCUUUUAACCGAAGGGAAACCGCCAGCGGUUCCCCAUGACCCUUGACCUCAAAUCAGACGAGGAUACCCGCUGAACUUAAGCAUAUCAAUAAGCGGAGGA